rnacentral:rRNA from 1 species
GAUGAACGCUGGCGGCGUGCCUAAUACAUGCAAGUCGAGCGAACGGACGAGAAGCUUGCUUCUCUGAUGUUAGCGGCGGACGGGUGAGUAACACGUGGAUAACCUACCUAUAAGACUGGGAUAACUUCGGGAAACCGGAGCUAAUACCGGAUGAUAUUUUGAACCGCAUGGUUCAAAAGUGAAAGACGGUCUUGCUGUCACUUAUAGAUGGAUCCGCGCUGCAUUAGUUAGUUGGUAAGGUAAUGGCUUACCAAGGCAACGAUGCAUAGCCGACCUGAGAGGGUGAUCGGCCACACUGGAACUGAGACACGGUCCAGACUCCUACGGGAGGCAGCAGUAGGGAAUCUUCCGCAAUGGGCGAAAGCCUGACGGAGCAACGCCGCGUGAGUGAUGAAGGUCUUCGGAUCGUAAAACUCUGUUAUUAGGGAAGAACAUAUGUGUAAGUAACUGUGCACAUCUUGACGGUACCUAAUCAGAAAGCCACGGCUAACUACGUG